AUGCACAUUUCCUUGCCUAUCUUUAUGUCGAGAGAAAAGAUAUUUCUGAUGUGCUAAAGAAAUCUUUGGAGGUAAAUUAGCAGCAUGACUCAUUCAGCCAGUGCUGUCAAUCACCUUCAGACAAGU